rnacentral:rRNA from 1 species
UACAGAGGGGGCAAGCGUUGUUCGGAAUUACUGGGCGUAAAGCGCACGUAGGCGGAUUGUUAAGUCGGGGGUGAAAUCCUGGAGCUCAACUCCAGAACUGCCUCCGAAACUGGCGAUCUUGAGUUCGGGAGAGGUGAGUGGAACUGCGAGUGUAGAGGUGAAAUUCGUAGAUAUUCGCAAGAACACCAGUGGCGAAGGCGGCUCACUGGCCCGAUACUGACGCUGAGGUGCGAAAGCGUGGGGAGCAAACAGG